GAGCUUUCACUUUUCACUUACCCAUCGUUCUAAGCCUUCUCUGUCCUUCCGAGUUCUCAUCCCUCCAUGGCUUCCAUUUCUCCACUCCCUUCUCGUCACCUCUCCUUCUCCACCACCAACUUCCAUUCCCCAACUCCAUUUCUCAAACCUCAUUCCUCUGCUGCUUCUCCUCCUCCUCCUCCAUCAUCCCAAUCCCACACCAUUUGCCACUCUCACAACCCUGAUUCUCCUCCGUCUGAACCUUCCCUUCCCUGGGGAUGGAGCUCUGCGCUUCAGGGCCUUUUUCAAACCGCCCUCGAACGCUUCGAUUCUCUCGUGAAUCACCGUACCGAUGGUUCUAUCGAUCCUCGUUCCGACGGUCGCGUUCUGCAGGGGCGGCGUAAAGAUGGGGAUGAUGAUGAUGGGAGCUGGGAUUGGGAUCGGUGGCGCAAGCAUUUUGACGAGGUGGAUGAACAGGAGCGUCUCGUUUCUUUUCUUAAGUCGCGCUUAAGUCAUGCGGUAUAUGCAGAGGAUUAUGAGGAUGCUGCAAGGCUCAAGGUGGCGCUUGCGGCUUUGGCUACAAAGGAUACUGUUGGCAGAGCAAUGUCUCAUCUUCAUAGAGCUAUAGAGGAGGAGCGUUACCGGGAUGCAGCGUUCAUUCGAGACAAUGCUGGUGCCGGACUGGUUGGCUGGUGGUCUGGCACUUCAAAAGACGAUCAUAAUCCUCGUGGUCUAAUUAUUCGAAUAACAGCAGAACAUGGAAGAUACAUAGCAAGAAGUUAUAGUCCUCGGCAGCUUGCUACGGCUGCAGAUGGUGUUCCCUUGUUUGAGAUUUUUCUUGGAGUGAAUAAGAAGGGUGAAUACAAACAGCAGGCUGUGUACUUGAAGCGGAAAGGAGAUUUCCCGGGUAAUUCAAAUGGUUCAUCAAAAGAAUCAGAUUCACCUAGUCUAUUGAAUCCUUUUGACCCUGUUGAAGAAAAGGAUGAUAUUUUCAUUAUAGAUGGUGAAGAAGCUGAAGAUGGUGACAUCAGGAAUGAAGAUUCUGAUAUAGCUGUUGGACUUCCAGUCUUUCAGGAUAUCUUGAGAGAUAUGAUUCCUGGAGGGAAGGUCAAGGUUUUGAAGCUAACAACCUCUGGAAAGGUUGACAAAGACGUGAUAUCUAAGGUGAUUGAGCAAAUAAUUGAGGAGGAAGAAGAUGAAGAAGAGGAAGACGAUGAAGAAGAGGAAGAGGAAGACGAUGGAGAAAGUGAGGAAGAGAGCGGCUUUGAAGAUUUGGUAGUAGAAGACAGAAUUAAGGAUGGACAUCAAGAGAAUGAUGCUAAAUUGAAUGCUGAUGAUGGUUUCCUUGAAAAUCAGGGGCAAAAUGAAGUUGCUGUCAAAAUCAUUGUAGGUGGCUUAGAGCAGAAGCUUUCCGGUGGCUUUUCUGCUAAAAAUACACUCAGAGUACCUGCAAAGUUAGAAAAGAAGGGACGUUCUUCAUUUUCUUUCUCGAUUGUGAAAGAUUCGAAUGAACAGGACUCUAUCGGAAAAGAACUAAAUUCCAUGGAUAGGAUGUCCAAGUCUCGAGGUCGAAGUAGUAAUGACUAUGUUAUGCUAGAUUUGGCCAAACUUAUUGGCAAGGAGAAGAUACCGCUUAAGGUACUUAAAAAUUUGAGUGAGUUAAUAAAGCUAUCCAUCAGCCAGGCACAGAACUAUCAACCUCUUUCUGGAUCCACAAGUUUCAAUCGAAUUGAUAUACUGACUUCUUCAGAUCCUCUGAAUGGACUGUACAUUGAUGCACAUGAAAUGUAUACAUCGGAUAUUAUUCAUCUAAGACGCAGAUUUGGUCGAUGGCAAGAGGAUGGAGGAGGGGAUAAGGAGCCUUCAAAGCUUGAAUUCUAUGAAUAUGUAGAGGCCUGGAAAGUUAUUGGGGAUCCAUAUCUACCAGCUGGCAAGGUGGCAUUUCGUGCGAAGGUUGGAAAAAAAUACCAGCUUCCUCAUAAAGGGAUCAUUCCAGAAGAAUUUGGAGUGAUUGCUAGAUAUAAAGGACAGGGGAGGCUAGCUGAGCCAGGUUUUCGCAACCCUCGAUGGGUUGAUGGUGAACUUGUUAUUCUUGAUGGAAAGCACAUCAAAGGAGGACCUGCCGUUGGAUUUAUUUAUUGGGCUCCAGAAUUUCAGUUCCUGGUGUUUUUUAAUCGACUGAGGCUGCAAGAGUAGAUUUCAUGUUAUUUUAAACUGAGAUCUCAAGCCUCUUCUUUCAUUAGUGCUUCGGUCAUUCUUCAACGAGGCUUGAGCAUACAAAUAUCCGUAGGCGGCGCAAAUUCGAAUUGACUUGACUCACUUGGUGUUGGGAGUAAGUGUCGCGCAAUCGCAAAAUUCUCUACCAAGAAAAGUAUGAUUGUGGCAAGUGGUAUCAGUGUCUUGUUAGCUCUUUGACGCAUUGAGACUAAAACAAUGUCGACGAAAAAAUCAGCACCUAAAUCACAAGUGGACCGGUUUACCUUGAUAGAAGAAGACAUGUUGUUUCUAAAAGAAAUCCGUGACACUGUCAGUUUCUUGGAAUGACGAGUGACAAAAUUGAAUAAAAAAGUUCAGGAAAUCGAUACCAUCGACGCCCGCUUGGAUGGGUUGUUGAUCAAAGAAUUGAUGUUUAGAGUUGACUCAUUAGAGGAAAGAGUUACCCGAACGAGCAGCUCAGAACAUGUUAAUGGUCUUGACAACUUUGUCGCACACAUGGAAGGACGUGUUAAAGAGCUAGGCGGUUUACAAAAGACCAUGUUGAAGUUGUUCAACGAAUUAGCUGAUGAAUUCCGAACAACGAUUAAUGGCAUCGGGGGAGAGAUGUCCGAAAUGAACGCCCGAGUGAGUUUGACAAUGAGAGACGUAGAGAAUCACACCCCUAGCUAAGCUUAUUUCGAACUUAACAAACUGAAGAACCCUAAACCUAAAGCCUUUAAAGGGAACCGGGAUGCCAAGGAAUUGGAGAACUUUAUCUUUGACGUAGAACAAUACUUUAAAGCUACAGGAACAUGUUCCAAAGACUUGAAAGUUACGUUAGUUACCAUGCAAUUUGUGGACAAUGCAAAAUUCUGAUGGUACUUGAAGGUGAACGAUAUCUAAAGUGGGUGAUGCACCAUCGACUCAUGGGAAGACCUCAAGAAAGAGUUGAUGACUCAAAU